rnacentral:lncRNA from 1 species
UUUAUUCCAUUUCAUUUAAAAAAUCAUAACUCUUUAAUUUGAAUUCCAAAAUAUAUGGGACCAAUUGCAUUAUUUCCUUUUUAAUUUCUAGUUUCUAAAAAUGAUUUUUAAUAAUUUUUAUUUUGUCAUUUGAUAUUUUUUGUGAAUUUUCUCUUUUCUGGUUAUUUUUAAUUCAUUUUAAAUAGUUUCUAAUAUUCAAAAAAUACAAAAAUAUUUUCUCAACCUCUUUGAAUGAUGAUGGAUCUAUGAAAAAUAUUCUCAUCA